UACGUAGGGGGCAAGCGUUAUCCGGAAUCAUUGGGCGUAAAGCGCGUGUAGGCGGUCCAGUAAGUCCGCUCUGAAAGCCCAAGGCUCAACCUUGGGAGGCGGGUGGAUACUGUUGGACUAGAGUCCGGAAGAGGAGAUUGGAAUUCCUGGUGUAGCGGUGAAAUGCGCAGAUAUCAGGAGGAACACCGAUAGCGAAGGCAGAUCUCUGGGACGUGACUGACGCUGAGACGCGAAAGCGUGGGGAGCAAACAGG
rnacentral:rRNA from 1 species